GAUGAACGCUGGCGGCGUGCCUAACACAUGCAAGUCGAACGGGAACCCUUGGAUUCGUCUGAGGGGGAGAGUGGCGAACGGGUGAGUAACACGUAGGUGACCUGCCCCGAAGAGGGGAAUAACCAUUGGAAACGGUGGCUAAUACCCCAUGUGCUCGGUGGUUCGUUCCAUCGAGGAAAGCUCCGGCGCUUUGGGAGGGGCCUGCGGCCCAUCAGGUAGUUGGUAGGGUAAUGGCCUACCAAGCCGAUGACGGGUAGGGGGCGUGAGAGCGUGAUCCCCCACACUGGCACUGAGACACGGGCCAGACUCCUACGGGAGGCAGCAGUGAGGAAUAUUGCCCAAUGGACGAAAGUCUGAGGCAGCAACGCCGCGUGGGCGAUGAAGGCCUUAGGGUUGUAAAGCCCUUUUCUGGGGGACGAGAGAGGACGGUACCUCAGGAAUAAGUCACGGCUAACUACGUG
rnacentral:rRNA from 1 species